rnacentral:rRNA from 1 species
UACGUAGGGUGCGAGCGUUAAUCGGAAUUACUGGGCGUAAAGCGUGCGCAGGCGGUUUUGUAAGCCAGAUGUGAAAUCCCCGGGCUUAACCUGGGAAUGGCAUUUGGGACUGCAAGGCUGGAGUGUGGCAGAGGAGACUGGAAUUCCUGGUGUAGCAGUGAAAUGCGUAGAUAUCAGGAGGAAGACCAGUGGCGAAGGCGGGUCUCUGGACAGUUCCUGACACUGAGGCACGAAG